rnacentral:rRNA from 1 species
UACGGGGGGGCGAAGCGUUGUUCGGAAUUACUGGGCGUAAAGGGCUCGUAGGCGGCCAACUAAGUCGGACGUGAAAUCCCCAGGCUCAACCUGGGAACUGCGUCCGAUACUGGAUGGCUUGAAUCCGGGAGAGGGAUGCAGAAUUCCAGGUGUAGCGGUGAAAUGCGUAGAUAUCUGGAGGAAUACCGGUGGCGAAGGCGGCAUCCUGGACCGGCAUUGACGCUGAGGAGCGAAAGCCAGGGGAGCAAACGGG